rnacentral:rRNA from 1 species
UACGUAGGGUGCAAGCGUUGUCCGGAAUUAUUGGGCGUAAAGAGCUCGUAGGCGGUCUGUUGCGUCGGCUGUGAAAACCCGGGGCUCAACCCCGGGCCUGCAGCCGAUACGGGCAGACUAGAGUUCGGCAGGGGAGACUGGAAUUCCUGGUGUAGCGGUGAAAUGCGCAGAUAUCAGGAGGAACACCGGUGGCGAAGGCGGGUCUCUGGGCAGUAACUGACGCUGAGGAGCGAAAGCGUGGGGAGCAAACAGG